rnacentral:tRNA from 1 species
GGAUGGAUGGCCGAGUGGUUAUGGCGUGUGGCUCAAGAGACGAUUCUCGUAUCUUUCUAAUGUAAAAAUUAGUGUGCUUUCUCAUAGGAUUUUCCUGCAGGGGUUCGAAUCCCCUUCCAUUCA